UACUUUUGGAGUAUAUAUUUGUGCCUGCAUAAAGUUGCUUUGACAGCAAUGAUAGCAGUGGGGAAUACCAUGAAUGGACCAAGCAAAAGAUCUUGAUGAUUGCUGAGUAUUGUCCCAGUCCACAGGGGAAAAACAGUCUUUUAGUUGGUAUGUAAACAAUAUAUCAUUAAUAUCUCCUCUAUUAUUUGGGAUCUUUACGCAAUAGUUUGUCAGAAUUACUAUUUUUUACUUGGUAUACAUAAAUUAUAUAUUAAUUAUACAUAACUAUAUAUUAUACAUAAAUUAUGCAUAUAUUAUAUAUUUAUUAAUUUUUUUUUAAUUUAGGCGGUCACAAUAAGUCUUCCUUUGAAAUUAUUUGCAUGUGUUGCUUUUCACAAAGCCCAAAUAUUCUAGCGUAUUAGUUGUCCAAAGAAUUAUAGUAAUUUCUUUCAUUUGUACUGCGAGCCACUACAGCUAGUAAUUAGAAGGCUGAGUCUCUCACAUUUGUUCAAUUUUAGCUACGUUUGUUUGUUACGUAUAUUUCAUAAUUUACUACUGGCUACUCAUUUUGACUAGUAUAUACAAGAAUUGACAACGUCAAUGUUUUGUUCAAGUAGUAAUUAAGGCUGGCAAAAUGGUUAACUAUUCGUAUUAUUCGCUAAAAAUGGGUUGGAUAAUGAACUAUUUAAAAAUGAGUCAAAUAUGGAUAAUAACCAUAUUAUCCAUUUAGAAAAUGGAUAACCAAUGGAUAUUUAAUGGGUUUAACUUUUAUAUUUGUAAAACCUCAUAUUGGAGGUUUCUCAAGUUUGGGAGACUAGGACUUCUCCCAAAUGUGAUCAUAUUCAUGAAGUCAUGGAUAAUAUGGUUACCCAUAUUAUCCGCCGGUUAACCCAUUUUUUUAUCCGUAUUAAAUAUGGGUCGGAUAAUAUAUCUUUUUUUUUCAUUAUCCAUUUUCAGCCAGUUCCAUAUCCGAUCCGACCCGCACGUUUACCACCACUAGCCGAAAGUAUAAGAACGUUAUGGUCGAGUAUUUGAUUUAUAUAUCUUGAGUACUUUGGAACCAACAACAAUUAGAGGAGAAGGAAAUGUAAAAAAUAAUAAUAAAAGAAGUGCUCAUCAUAACUUGCUGAUAAUUACUCCCUUCAUUGCAAUUUUCAUAGAUAUAUGUUAAUUUGAUAUGAAGUUUAAAAAAGAAAUAUCUAUUCGUUCCAUUUUAAGUGUUGUUUUAGCUCUUUUCAAGUUUAUUAAGAAAAUAAUAAGUAUAUAUCUUACUAAGUUACUUCUAUUAAAUAUUUUUUUGAGUAUUGAACAGUAUUAAAAAGAACUACUUCUUUAAUAUUAAGGAUAUAACUGGAAACAAUUAACAAAUUUAAUUUUGAAUUCAUAUAGUGACCAUUAUUUUGGGAUAAGUUUUUAAGCUAAAGUGACUGUUAAUUUUGGACAGAGGGGUAACGAUUCUUUUAGUCUUAAAUAUUACUAUGAGAUGUGUGGCUAUAAACAUAUGCUAUUUAAGGGUAAAUAAAAUUUUCUAAAUUAAAUUAUUUUAAUAGGAAAAAGAGAUUGGCAUGGCGUUUUCAGCCGAAGUAUCCAAACAAGAAAGGAUAAGAGUAUAUGUUUAUCUAUUUCCCUCUUGUAUUCAUAUUCCAAUACACAAAUUAAAGGGGACAUCUGUGUUCCCCGCCUCCAAUUAAUUACUGCUAGUUUUCCCUUUCUGUAUUUCUAUUUGAAGCAUCUUUACUUUCUCAUCCCUAGAUUUCAACUGCAUUGAAACCUGAACUAUAUAUAUAUAUAUAUAUAUACUGUGGUAGUGAAACUUGUGGUAAAGAGCAGAGGCGGAGCUAGAGCUUCGGUAACGAGUUCGGCCGAAUCCAAUAGCUUUAGUGCGAACUCUAUAUUUGUCUUGAAAAAUUCUUUGAAUAAGUAUAAAUUCUUAUUUUAGAACCUAGUAACAUAAAAAGGCUAGAACUCCGAACCAAUACCUUCAAAUCUUGGCUCCGCCUGUAAAGAGAUCGAAAAAAUAGAUUAUUAUUAAAUGACUAAUCUAGUUUUGAAUUUUGACUACUUUAAACUACCUAUGGGCUCCCAUUCAUAUACUCCCUCCGUCCCAAUUUAUGUAGUACUUUUUUCUUUUUUAGUUAGUCCCCAAAAGAAAUACAUCUUUCUAUAUUAGUAACAAUUCAACUUUAAAUUUCACCUUUUACCCUUAUUAAAAUGAUUUCUAGCCACACACAUUAAUUGAAGAUACACCUUUUAAAAGGAUAUUUAAACUCCAUUAUAUUUAUUAAGAUAAGACGUUUGAAUUUGCACACAUCCUAAUAUUUAGAUAUUACGUUUAGAUCUAAACAUUAGAUAAUUAAGGCUUCUUAUUUUUCAACAUCUAAAUAUGAAUAAUUUAUAUUAGAAACUAAGAAAUAUAAAAUUUGGAUAAAUCACUACAUUAAAUAUUAUAUUCACGAAAUAUUAGAGAUAAUAUGAAUCUACACUAGUCGUAUAAAUUGUUUCUUUAAAUAAUUACAUUCUAUAGAGAUAACGAUGAUGGUCGGCAAUAGGGGUGUAGGAUUUUUCAAUUAUCAAAACAAACCAACUGUGUCGGAUUAUUAAAUCUAAAGACCAAACCAAACUAAUAAAAAUCGAGUUUUCAAAUCUCGAUUUUUCUCGAGUUUCUUGGGGUUUUGAGUUUUUUCUGAUCUUUUUUAUAAAGUUUUCAUAGCACAGAAUAUAUAAUUUGUGCUCUAAAUAUUUCUUUAAUCCAAGUAAGACAGAACUAUAUAAGGUAUUUUUCAAGAAAAUAACAUAAAAUAUGAGAUGAUUCAUGAAAUUAUACUAAAAUAUUCAAUAAUAAAAAUAAUAAAAUCGCAAANNNNNNNNNNNNNNNNNNNNNNNNNNNNNNNNNNNNNNNNNNNNNNNNNUAUAUAUAUAUAUAUAUAUUAAAUUUCGAUAAUUUAUUGCAGAGUUUAAUAUUGUAAAAUCAAAUGCUAUAGUAUAAAAUGCUAUAUUACUAAUAUUGGGGUAACUUAAUUAAUUAUACAACAAUCUACGUAUCAUUUGUAUUAAUAAAUGUAACUUAAUUAGGAAUACUUGUAUCAACAAUAUAUGAACAAGAGUAUUUAAAAACAAAACUGCCCUUAAAAUAGCUAGACAACCCUUACAUAAAAAUCAUUGCAAUCCAGAUGUUAGUAUUCACUGCGUAUAAUAAUUCCUAUCUUAUUAUGACCAGAAAAACAUUUUCAACAUUAUAAUCCGUGCAUAAAUAGAUGGCAAACCAUACGCCCCUAAUCUAAUAGAAAUGGCAAUUCUGUGCACGAAAUAUCUCGUGUUCACAGAGGAUUGCACUCCAAGGGGGUGUGAUGUAGACAACCUAUCCAAAUAUAAGUAUUAGUGACUGAUUUUACAAUUCAAACUUGUGAUAUAUAAAUCACACAGAGAAUACUUUAGUGUUGAUCAAAGGGUCUCCUUCUAAUAUAGUCUAAUAAAAAAGAUAUCUAGGGCCAAAGUUGUUUGAUUCUUGAUGGAUGACAACUUACAACUACCUUAAAUUUUUAUGAUGGUUUGUUCACAAAUGAGACAUGCAUGGCCUUUUUCCUAAUAUAUAAUUAUACUUUUUUAUUAGACAAAUCAUGAUUGCAUGCACUCACACGUAAGUAAAGAGAACAAACGACCCAAAAAAAUACUAAACCAGCAAUUAGCUGAAUAUUAGGAUCUUCACUUUAAUCAACCCGUUUUAAUUAAAUAAUAAAGAAUGAUGGGAUGUUGUCCCACUAUAGAAUGUUGACUAACCAAUCACUACUUUUAAGUGUGGUUCUGUGGACCAUCCAAUUAUAUGGCUUUCUAGCAUCCGAUCCUUGAGGAAGAUUGAACCUAAGAUUUUAAUUUUAUAGGUUCGCUUCCGGUGUAAUUGUACCUGUACAUGGACAGUAAUAGGUGUGAGCUCGCAGAAGUGAACCACGAGCCAUUGAAGCGACCAAGAGAGGGAUUGCCAGGAACCGUAGAAGCGGAAUUUUUGGACGCACCUGUGAGCGCGCAGAAGCGGAAAAAUACACAGGUGCGAAGGAUUGGGCGCACCUACGGUUGCGCAGAAGCGACCCCUUUGUCUGCAGGUGCGGUGCCAGGCCAAGAUGGAAAAUCUCGACACCUACGAGGCUUUUAACGUUCAGGUCAUAACAACUAAACUCAUCACCUUAUUUGAGUUCUAGAUUCGUAAUUUAAUGUUUUCAAAAAUUUUAAUGGAUUUUAUACAAAUAAAUCAGGUCUAAGCUAAAACUUAUGGGUUCAGAUGAAUCCAUAUCUACAGUGUUAUAUCCCCCUUGCUUUGGAGAAGGUGGUGAAAUUUUACUAUUAAAUACUUAAAUUAAGUUGAAAUAUAAUAUACACUAAUAAGUGUAGAAUUGUUUUACAAUAUUAGUGUUGUUUAAUUAGUUAUUGCAAGUUUUCACUCAUUUAUUUGUCAGUGUAAGAAAAAAAUAUAGAUUGUCAUAAACUUAAAGUCAUUUGAGUUUACAUAUUUCUCAAAACAAAUGAAGCAACCAUAGAACACCCAAAUAGGGGAAUUUACCAAUUCAAAAUGACUGACCUGCUUCCUUGAAAUCGUCUAUAAUAGUGUGAAUGCGCAUAAUGUAAAGUAGAUAAAGCAGGGAAGAUAAAAAUAAAUAAAGAAAUAAAGGAAGAGAGUAAAAAAGUAUCUUUCCUUCAAAAAAUUUGGUAAAGUAAAGUUUAAGAAAUUUUUUGAACUAUUUUAAUGGUUAGGUGAAUUAUGAAUUAUGAGGUAGACUAUGAUUUGUAUAUUACGCUCGCUAGGUACUCUAUUUCUUUCUUUCUUUUUUCUUUUUCGAAAUCUCUCCUCUUUUUUAUACUACAAUAGCUUUCAAAACCUUUGAUGAUACAUUACAUGCAAAAUCAUAGAAUAAAAAAAGAUAAUUUUCUCAUUCUGGGAGUAACACAAUAACUCUGAAAGUUUUCUAAAAUUGUUCAUAACCGAAAGGCUAAAUGGAUUAAAAAAUAAUUAUCCAUCUAUAUUAUCCAGUUAAAAUUGAUACUUAAUGGGUAACAAAUGAGUUCUAUUUUUACAUAUGCAAAAACCUAAAAGGGUUCCUCAAAUUUGGGAGACUAGAGAUUCUCUAAAAAAUGAUCACAUUUAAAAAGUCAUGGAUAAUAUGAAUACCUAUAUUAUCCAUUGAUUAAUCUAUUUUUUAUCCGUAUUAAAUAUAGGCGCGUCAAAUAUUUUAUCGGAUUUUAUAUUACGGUUAUCGAUCCGCCCAUAUUCGGUCUGGCCCGCGCUCUGCCACCCAACUCGAGACAUAUGAUUUAACUAAGGCCUUAAGUUUUCUAGUUAAAUAAAAUGCAAUAACAACAAUCCAGUAUAAUCUCACUAGUGGGUUCUGGGGAGGGUAGUGUGUACGCAGACCUUACUCCUACCCUGGGGUAGAGAGGCUGUUUCCAAGAGACCCUCGGCUCCCUCCCUCCAAGAACUCCCCACCUUGCUCUUGGGCUGACUCGAACUCACAACCUUUUAGUUGUGAGUGGAGGGUACUUACCACUAAAGCAACCCUGUUUUCUAGUUAAAUAAAGUACAAAGUAAAGAAAAUGGAUAGUGCUCCGAGCUUUUAGAUACAUCAUAACAACGAAAGAUGACGUGCACCGUAAAUAAAAAUGAUAUAUUGUCCGGGCCAUCGAUAUUUUAAUUAUUGCUCUAUUAUUCUUCUAUUUCUAGGUUAAUGACCGGGGGGGAGGGGGGGGGGGGGGGGAGGGGGAAUAGAUCAAGAUUAACGGUAGGCAUUCUUAAUUUCCAGUUGUAGUGCUUUCUUUAGAUCCUUUGUAUUUGUACUGAAAAUAUAUUAGAACGCAUAAAUAUUUAUGUCACCACUAGAAAUCCCAACCUCGAGAUUGUGAAAGUCAGUGCCAGGCCACGCUUGGUCAAAACUUCAAUUUUGGACCAAAACUCAAUUACCCAUUCACCUCCGAGAUCGGUUAUUUGAUUAGUUUCGAAAUCCGACCUCAAUUUGAGGUCUAAAUCUCAAUUUUUUAAAAUUUCUAAUUUCUACCUAAAUUCCUAAUUUCUACCACAAAAAAUAUAUAGAUUAAAGGUUAAAAUCAAUGGACGUUUAUGAAAAUGUAAGAAAACAACUUAAAAUCUACUAACCUAUGAAGUUGGGAUGAAAAAGCUCUUCAAAAUCGCCUCUAGGCCGAGCUCAAACUUGAAAAUGGUGAAAAAUAAGAUAAAUCCUGACUUUGGGCUGUUUUAAAUCACUCGCGUCAGGUGUUCAUUGCAUCCGCGAAACACUUGACGCGAUCACGAAGCUUUGCGGCCUAAAUGGCAUUCACGUUCGCGAGAUGUUGUACGCGUUCGCGAUGACCUGUCCCCUUGGCCUUCGCGUUCGCGAGCCUAGGCUCCCGUUUGCGUAGAACACCAAGAAGAUCCCCUCCCAGACCCCAUAACCCUACGUGUUCGCUGGAGGAUGGUCGCGUUCGCGAAGGGUAAGCUCUCCAAUGCUUCAUGUUCAUGAAUAUGCCAUCGCGUUCGCGAUAAAAUCCACCCAAGCCCCAAGUUCCCCUUCGCGAUCGCGAGAAUACCUUCACGAUCGCGAAGCAUAAAACCUCAGAGACCAGCAAUAACAAAAAUCAACAAUUCUUCAAUUUCAAAAUGGCCCGUAGCCUAUCCGAAAUUCACCCGAGCCUCCUGGGCUUCAAACCAAACAUGCACACAAGUGUACUAACAUUAUGCGAACUCGGGGGGGGGGGGGGUAGAUCAAGAUUAACGGUAGGCAUUCUUAAUUUUCAAUUGUAGUGCUUUCUUUAUAUCCUUUGUAUUUGUACAGAAAAUAUAUUAAAACACAUAAAUAUUUAUGUCACCACCAGAAAUCCCAACCUCGAGACUGUGAAAGUCAAUGCCAGGCCACGCUUGGUCAAAACCUCAAUUUUGGACCAAAACUCAAUUACCCAUUCACCUUCGAGAUCGGUUAUUUGAUUAGUUUCGAAAUCCGACCUCAAUUUGAGGUCUAAAUCUUAAUUUUUCAAAAUUUUCAAUUUCUACCUAAAUCCCUAAUUUCUACCACAAAAAAAAUAUAGAUUAAAGGUUAAAAUCAAUGGGCGUUUAUGAAAAUGUAAGAAAACAACUUAAAAUCUACUAACCUAUAAAGUUGGGAUGAAAAAGCUCUUCAAAAUCGCCUCUAGGCCGAGCUCAAACUUGAAAAUGGUGAAAAAUAAGAUAAAUCCUGACUUUGGGCUGUUUUAAAUCACUCGCGUCAGGUGUUCAUUGCAUCCGCGAAAUACUUGACGCGAUCACGAAGCUUUGCGGCCUAAAUGGCAUUCACGUUCGCGAGAUGUUGUACGCGUUCGCGAUGACCUGUCCCCUUGGCCUUCGCGUUCGCGAGCCUAGGCUCCCGUUUGCGUAGAACACCAAGAAGAUCCCCUCCCAGACCCCAUAACCCUACGUGUUCGUUGGAGGAUGGUCGCGUUCGCGAAGGGUAAGCUCUCCAAUGCUUCAUGUUCAUGAAUAUGCCAUCGCGUUCGCGAUAAAAUCCACCCAAGCCCCAAGUUCCCCUUCGCGAUCGCGAGAAUACCUUCACGAUCGCGAAGCACAAAACCUCAGACACCAGCAAUAACAAAAACCAACAAUUCUUCAAUUUUAAAAUGGCCCGUAGCCUAUCCGAAAUUCACCCGAGCCUCCUGGGCUUCAAACCAAACAUGCACACAAGUGUACUAACAUCAUGCGAACUCGGGGGGGGGGGGGGGAUAGAUUAAGAUUAACGGUAGGCAUUCUUAAUUUCCAAUUGUAGUGCUUUCUUUAGAUCCUUUGUAUUUGUACUGAAAAUAUAUUAGAACGCAUAAAUAUUUAUGUCACCACCAGAAAUCCCAACCUCGAGACUGUGAAAGUCAAUUCCAGGCCACGCUUGGUCAAAACCUCAAUUUUGGACCAAAACUCAAUUACCCAUUCACCUCCGAGAUCGGUUAUUUGAUUAGUUUCGAAAUCCGACCUCAAUUUUAGGUCUAAAUCUCAAUUUUUCAAAAUUUCCAAUUUCUACCUAAAUCCCUAAUUUCUACCACAAAAAAAAUAUAGAUUAAAGGUUAAAAUCAAUGCGCGUUUAUGAAAAUGUAAGAAAACAACUUAAAAUCUACUAACCUAUGAAGUUGGGAUGAAAAAGCUCUUCAAAAUCGCCUCUAGGCCGAGCUCAAACUUGAAAAUGGUGAAAAAUAGGUUAAAUCCUGACUUUGGGCUGUUUUAAAUCACUCGCGUCAGGUGUUCAUUGCAUCCGCGAGACACUUGACGCGAUCAAGAAGCUUUGCGGCCUAAAUGGCAUUCACGUUCACGAGAUGUUGUACGCGUUCGCGAUGACCUGUCCCCCUGGCCUUCGCGUUCGCGAGCCUAGGCUCCCGUUUGCGUAGAACACCAAGAAGAUCCCCUCCCAGACCCCAUAACCCUACGUGUUCGCUGGAGGAUGGUCGCGUUCGCGAAGGGUAAGCUCUCCAAUGCUUCAUGUUCAUGAAUAUGCCAUCGCGUUCGCGAUAAAAUCCACCCAAGCCCCAAGUUCCCCUUCGCGAUCUCGAGAAUACCUUCACGAUCGCGAAGCACAAAACCUCAGACACCAGCAAUAACAAAAACCAAUAAUUCUUCAAUUUCAAAAUGGCCCGUAGCCUAUCCGAAAUUCACCCGAGCCUCCUGAGCUCCAAACCAAACAUGCACACAAGUGUACUAACAUCAUGCGAACACGCUCGCACAAUCAAAAUACGAAAAUAAUACCUAGAACUAUGAAUCAAACAUCAAAAUGCAUGACUUUUUCAAAGAAACUCAAGAACUUUCAAAUUCACAACCGAGCGUUCGAAUCCUAUCAAAUUAACUUCGUUUUCCACCAAAUUUUGCAAACAAGUCUUAAAUAAUAAAAUAAACCUAUAACAAGUUCCGAAACCGAGUUUCGAACCCGAUAGACAUAAAGUUAUCCUACGGUCAAACUUCUAAAUUCCUUAAACGUUCAAGUUACUACGUUUCAACAAAUUACGUCAAAUCAAGUUAGGGACUUCCAAAUUCAAUUCCGGGCAUACGCCCAAGUCCAAAAUCACGAUACGGACAUGAGCGUAUGCAGGAAGUUUUAUAAGCGGUGUCCAAAUUUAUAGAAGAACUGAAAUAUAACUUUGAUUAUCAUAUUUUUAGACAAUAAAUAGCCUUAGUCUAUUAGUUUUGUUGAGUCUUAAGUUAGAAAAGGUCCUUAGUUCAAUUCUACUUCAUCACAAUUUUUAACCACAAAGGUUCUCUCAAAUAUUUGCAAAAGAGAAAUGUACUUGUUAAGGUUUAAAGCUUUGAACUCUUAGAGCAAAAUCAAGUACAUAACCAAUACACCAAGACACAAUUUAUGUCAAGUGGUGUAAUUUUUUCCUACUUAUCCGUUUUCGUAAUAUAUUAAUACAAUUAUUUAGUAAACUUUUCCGACGAAGCGGUAUAGCGUGACACCACUUCGGUAAACGUGCAUCUGCCCCUGGAUACGGACUCAUCGGGAUCGUCCAUACUGAUCAGGUCCGUUUACACAAAUGUUGACCGUAGUCAACUCAAAUCAUUUUUAAAGCUAAAAUUCAUGUUUUCUUCAAUCGUUUUCACGUAAACACUUUCCGAAAAAGACACGAACUGCGCACAUAAGUCAAGAAUCACUAAACGGAGCUAAUCGACGUCUCGGAAUACUGAAAUAAGUGCUAGAACUCAGAAUGACCUAUCAGGUCAUCACAUUCUCACCCUCUAAAAUAAAUGUUCGUCCUCGAACGAACAUAGAAAGGUAUCUAGACUGGUGAAAAGGUAUGGGUAUCUGCUCCACAUGUUGGACUCGGACUCACACGUAGCUGCCUCGAUCAACUGACCUCUCCACUACACUCUAACAUAAGGAUAACUCUUAGACCUCAACUUCUGAACCUGCCGUGCUAGAAUGGCCAACGGCUCCUCCUCGUAAGUCAAAUCGUUGUCCAAUUGGACUGAGCUGGGUUCUAAUACAUGGUACGGAUCACCGUGAUACUUAUGGAGCAUGGAAACAUGGAACACCGGGUGAAACAUUGAUAAGCUAGGUGACAAUGGAAGCUUGUAGGCCACCUCACUAACUCUCUCAAGGAUUCAAAGGGUCUGAUAUACCUAAGGCUCAACUUGACCUUCUUCACGAACCUCAUCACACCCUUCAUGGGUGAAACCCAGAGUAAAACCCUCUCUCCAACCAUGAAUGCAACAUCACAAACUCUCCGAUCGGCAUAACUCUUCUUCCUAGAUUGUGCGUAUGAAGUCGAUCCUGAAUCAUCCUUACCUUUUCCAAGGCAUCCUGAACCAAAUCAGUACCCAACAACCGGGCCUCUCCCGGCUCAAAUCAGCCAACUGACGAACGACACCGCCUCCUAUAUAAGGCCUCAUAAGGAGCCAUCUAAAUACUCGAUUGGUAGUUGUUAUUGUAGGCAAACUCCACAAGCGGCAAGAACUGAUCCCAAGAACCCCCGAAAUAUAUAACACAUCCGCGAACACAUAUCCUCAAAUAUCUGAAUAGCGCUGGGACUGUCCAUCCGUCUGAGGGUGAAAUUCUAUACUCAACUCAAUCCGUGUGCCUAACUCACGCUGUACGUCCCUCGAGAAGUACGAUGUGAACUUUGUACCCUGAUCAGAAAUAAUGGACAUUGGUCAACCUAUCCACAACGACCCAUACUACGUCAAAUUUCUUCAAAGUCCGUAGGAGCUCAACAACAAAAUCCAUGAUAAUAUGCUCCCACUUCCACUCCGGAAUCUCAAGUCUCUGAAGCAAAUCACUAGGCCUCUGAUGCUCAUACUUUACCUGAUGGUAAUUCAAAAACCGAGCCACAUAUACAACUAUAUUUUUCUUUACCAAUAAUGCUACCUCAAAUCCUGAUACAUCUUAGCAAUACCGAGACGAAUGGAAUACUGCGAACUAUGGGCCUCCUUAAAAAUCAGCUCAUGGAGCCCAUCCACAUUGGGCACACAAAUCCGACCUGUAUCCGCAACACCCCAUCAUCUCCAAUAGAAACCUGCUUAGCAUCACUGUGCUGCACUGUGUCCUUAAGGACAAGCAAAUGGGGGUCGUCAUACUGACGAUCUCUGAUGCGCUCAUACAAAGAAAACCGAGAGACCGUGCAAGCAGGAGCCCGAUUAGGCUUCGAAAUAUCUAACCUCACGAGCUGAUUGGCCAAGGCCUGAACAACUGAUGCAAGCGAUCUCUCUACAACUGGAAUAUAUGCAAGCCUACCCAUACUCACAGCCUUUCUACUCAAGGCAUCGGCCACCACAUUGGCCUUCCCGGGAUAAUACAAAAUGGUAAUAUCAUAGUCUUUCAAUAAAUCUAACCACCUCCGUUGUCUCAAGUUGAGAUCCUCUUCCUUAAACAAGUAUUAUAGAGUCUGGUGAUAUGUGAAUACCUCACAUGACACAACGUAGAGGUAAUGCAUCAAAAUUUUUAAUGCAUGAAUAAUAGCUGCCAACUAUAAGUCAUCAACAAGGUAAUUCUUCUCAUGAACCUUCAACUGCCGAGACGCAUAUGAAAUCACCCUACCAUCCUGCAUCAAUACUGCGCCAAGCCCAACACGCGAUGUAUCACAAUACACAAUGUAGGAUCCUGAACCUAUGGGCAAUACCAACACUAGGGUUGUAGUCAAAGCAGUUUUGAGCUUUUGAAAGCUCAAGUCAUACUCAUCGGACUACCUGAAUGGGGCACCCUUCUGGGUCAAUCUAGUCAAUGAGGUUGCAAUGGAUGAAAACUCCUACACGAACCAGCGGUAAUAACCCGCUAAACCUAGGAAGCUCCGAAUCUCUAUAGAUGAAGUAAGUCUAGGCCAGUUUUGAACUGCCUCAAUCUUCUUGGGAUCCACUUUAAAGUCCUUGGCAGAUACAACAUGUCCCAAUAAGGCAGCCGAGUCCAACCAAAACUCACACUUUGAAAGCUUGGCAUAUAACUAACUAUCUCUCAUAGUCUAAAGUACAACCAGAAGAUGUUGCUCAUGCUCCUCUCGACUGUGGGAGUAGAUCAAAAUAUCAUCAAUGAAUACGAUCAAAAAAAGAAUCCAAAUAGGUCUUACAUACCCAAUUCACCAAUUCCAUAAAUGUUGCUGGGGCAUAUGUCAACCCAAAUGAUAUCACUAUGAACUCAUAAUGCCCAUACCAAGUCUAAAAGCUGUCUUAGAGACAUCCGAUGCACUAAUAUUCAAUUGAUGGUAGCCAAAUCUCAAAUAAAUCUUCAAAAAUAUUUUGGCACCCUUAUGUUGAUCAAUUAAGUCAUUAAUCCUCGACAACGAAUACUUGUUCUUGAUAAUGAAUUUGGUCAACCGCUGAUAGUCUAUACACAUCCUCAUCGAACCAUCCUUCUUCUUCAGAAUAAAACUGGUGCAUCCUAGGGCGAGACACUAGGUCUAAUAAAUCCCUUCAAAUCACACAUAAAACAUAUAGCAAAUAGACCAACAAGUCUUAAUCCCUCAAGUCAAGGUUAACCACGAUACUUACCUCAAUUCCGAAAUCAAAUCAAUGCUCAACCGCCACUUUUACUCUAGAAUUAGCCUCCAAAUCAAUCAAAUCUAACAAAAUUUAGUUCAAAUAAUUCAAAAUAAGCUUCAGAAACUACCCACGAGUAAAAAAGAUUCAAUCUUUAAUGAUUUUGGAAAAGGUCAGCAAAAGUCAACCUCAGGCUCGCUUGGUCAAAACCCGAGAUUUGGACUAAAACUCAAUUACUCAUUCACUCCCAAGCCCGGUUAUUUUAUUAGUUAGAAAAUCCAACCUCAAUUUGAGGUCUAAAUCUCAGUUUCUCAAAAUCUCUAAUUUUUACCUAAAUCUCUAAUUUCUACCAUGAAAAAGUAUAGAUUAAAGGUUAAAAUCAAUGGGUGUUUAUGAAAAUGUAAGGAAACAAGUUAAAAUCCGCUAGCCUAUGAAGUUGGGAUAAAAAACCUCUUCAAAAUCGCCUCUAGGCCGAGCUCAAACUUGAAAAUGGUAAAAAAGAAGAAGAUAAAUCUCGACUCUGGGCUGUUAUAAAUCACUGGCAUCAGGUGUUCAUCGAGUUCGCGAGACACAUAACGCGAUCGUGAGGCUUUGCGGCCUAAAUGGCCUUCGCGUUUGCAAGAUGCUAUAUGCGUUCGCGAUGUCCUGUCCCUUAUGGCCUUCCCGUUCGCAAGCCUAGGCUUACGUUCGCAUAGAACACUAAGAAGAUCCCCUCCCAGACCCCAUAACCCUACGCGUUCGCGAAGGGUAGGCCCUCCAAUGCUUCGCGUUCGCGACCAUGUCAUCACGUUCGCGAUGAACAAAUCCACCCUAGACCUUAUUUACCUUUUGCGAUCAUUAGAGUACCUUCGCGAUCGUGAAUCACAAAACCUUAGACAUCGGCCACAGUAAAAACCAGUAAUUCUUCAAGGUCAAAAUGGCAUGUAGCCUAUCCGAAACUCACUUGAGCCCCUUGGCUCUAAACCAAAUAUGCACACAAGUGUAAUAACCUCAUGCGAACUCGCACACACAAUCAAAAUACCAAAAAACAUCUAGAACUACUCUAUGAGGUAAAAUAUGUUCAUAUUUAUUGUUCGCAUGAGAAGGUGACACGUGGAGCCGAAGACAAAAAUAGUCGGGCCCGAGGACAAUGAUCACGCUUGUUCUCGGAGAGAAUGAUAUUCAUAAAGGCAAAGUAAAUUCCUACCAUCUGGUAGAAUUUAAUGAAGAAUAUUCUAUAGUAUUAAGUGCACGGUCCGUUAUAGAAAAUAAGACAUUUACUGCCUACCGUUACACACUCUUCAAUGGUCCUCAUAAUUGUCAUUUAAGAGAGGCUUGAUCCUAGGACCUUUUUCCUUAUGUACAAUUAUAAAUAGUGAGCUAUGCCUAUCAUCUUAUCUCAAUUUUAAUGCUAAGUCUUACAUUUUUGUCUAAUUCAUUUAUCAUUUUAGGAUCAAAUCAAUUCACUUGUCUAUAUACCACGUAUAAAUUCAACUGUACCAUUUUACGGGUUAACAGUUUGGCACUCACCGUGGGGCUUAGACAGUUGUGUGUUUGAAUUGAUCCCUGCAUCAAUUACUAACUUGUUUGAUUCUUUGUUCUUAGCAAAAAUGAUUAAAAAUGGAAGAUAACGAUGUCAACAUCACACACAACAUUGAGGCCCAAGGAAAUCAGCCUCAGCACGAAGAUUCCAUCACUGACACCCGCAAUGAGAGGGAUGAGGCCACGCCGGUUCACGGCCGGAAAUAUCCACGACAUGUUUGAGAGGCAACUCCUAAUGAUACUGAAGACGAGCACGUCGUCGAAACAAUAAUGAUCUUGAUGGAGUAGCAAAAAGCCAUUAUGUGCUAUCUCUCACGGCAGGAUCAUGUCAUGAUGGAAUUAAGGCAAGCAUUGUGGGGUGCUUCCAAAAAUGCGAAUGUAUGAGGUCCAAUUCCUCUCGGUGUUUUGCAAGUCAAACAACCCAAAGGGUAAAUAACAACACCCCGAUGGGCGAGGUCGACUUUGACAGAGCCGGGGGGAAUGGUAGCAGUUCCGUCAACAACAAUAAAAAUGAUCCCUUUAAAACUGAACUCAUGCGGUUUAUGAGAAAAAUAAAUGCCCAAAUAGAUCAAAUUCCAGGUGUGCCACCAGUACUGAAAGGACCGAAUUCAAAGAAGUACAUCCAGUUGUCGUUCAAACCAAGAGCGACAACAGAGUUUAUCCUGAAGUGGUUCAAAAUGCCAGAUGUGCCGAAGUAUGAUAGGAAUUCAGAUCCCAGGAGCAUAUCACCACCUAUACAAUGGCAGUGAAGGGAAACGAUUUGGCUCUGCAUGAGAUUGAGUCAGUUUUAUUGAAGAAAUUCGGGGAGACCCUCACGAAGGGGGCCCUGACGUGGUCUUCACUCUUGCCCGAGCAUUCUAUAGACUCCUUCGAGAUUCUCGAGGACUCUUUCAUUUAGUCUCAUGGUGGAACUAGUAUCGGCCAUGAGGAACAUCAAAGAGGCAUAGUUCCCGAAGCCAAUAAGAUCCGACCCCAGCCAAAGGGAUCCUAAUUUAUGGUGCGAAUAUGAUGGGACCAACGGUCAAUGGACAGGGAUUUGUCGGAAUUUGUGCGAGGAAGUGGCGAUAUUACUGAAAAAUGAUCAUCUCAGAGAAUUUUUAAGCUUCCAAGCUAAAAACAACUAUGACCGCAAUCGUGAUAAUACAGAGCAUUCAAAAGCAGGAGAAAAUCCCCCACGCUUGGCGAUCAACAUGAUUUUCAGGGGAAACGAGAUUAAUGGGGUGACAUUUUGGUGGCAAAAAAGACGAAGGUGUCAGUGACUCACAACAAUAGUUUCUGGGAAGUCGCUGAGGAGGAUAACACUUUCACGGAGGAAGACAUAGAUGGAUUGCUGCUGCCGCACAACAUUGCAUUAGUAAUCUCCUUAAAUGUCUUAGAUUUUAAAAUUAAACAUGUUUUGGUAGACCCAGGAAGUUCGGCCAAUGCCAUCCAAUGGAGAGUGUUGGAGAAAGCCAAGCUCACCGGAAGCAUCAUUCUAGCCACAAAGCUCCUCUCAGGGUUUGACCUAGCAAGUGUGACAACCCGAGGAGAGAUCUUGCUGCCCACGAUUUCUGAGGGGCUGAUGAGGACGACUCUUUUUGAGGUGGUGGACGACGAUAUGGGCUAUAAUAUUAUCUUAGGGAGAUCGUGGUUGCACGAAAUGAAGGCUGUGCCAUCAAUAUAUCACAAGUUGUUGAAUUUUCUAACUUCUUGAGGGAAUUAAACAAAUAAGAGGCGACCAACCGGCAAUAAGGGAGAUGAAUAUGGAAUCAGUUUCCAGUAGCAAAGGGAAGGAGAAUGCGGUAUAGCAAUUACAGGAAUCGACAUCUGCUCCUGAGCCGAGCGAAGUCAGCCAGGGGAAGGAUUCAUCGGAAUCCUAUCAGGUACCAAGAUAUUUUCAGGUACCAGAAGAAAUAGACAUAACAAAAUCCACGAUGGAAGAACUUGAACAAGUUGCAUUGUCCGAAAAUUUCUUGGAGAGGAAAUUCCAUUUGGGGACAGGACUACACCCUGAGCUUAGGUCUGGAUUUAUUGAAUUUCUUAAAUUUAAUGUCGAUUUCUUUGUGUGGUCGCAUGCGGAUAUGACAGGUAUCCCGCCAGAAGUGGCCGUACACAAACUAAGCCUGGACCCAGCAUCCCUCAGGUAAGACAGAAAAAAUGUCGUAUUGCGAGGUUAAGAAUAAAUUCAUCAAAGAAGAGGUAACUCGUUUGCUUGAUAUUGGUUCAAUCCGAGAGAUAAAAUAUCCCGACUGACUAGCUAACGUAGUAGUAAUACCAAAGAAGAAGAAUACGUUUUGCAUAUGCUUAGACUAUAAUGAUUUAAAUAAGGUGUGCCCAAAAGACUCAUUCCCAAUGCCAUACAUUGAUCAAAUGAUUGAUGCGACGGCUGGACACGAGUUAAUGAGUUUCGUCGAUGCUUAUUCCAGGUACAACCAAAUCAAGAUGAACCCAGAGGAUCAGGAAAAGACCUCGUUCAUAACGAACUUUGGGACAUAUUGUUACAAUGUGAUGCCUUUUGGGCUAAAGAAUGCCGCAGCCACUUAUCAACGGCUCGUAAACAAAAUGUUUGAGAAACAAAUAGGGAAAAAUAUGGAAGUUUACAUAGAUGAUAUGCUGGUUAAGUCUUUGAACAUUGGUGACUAUCUGAAACACUUGCAAGAGACCUUUGACAUCUUAAGAAAACAUAACAUGAAGCUUAACCCCGAGAAGUGUGCGUUCGGGGUCAGCUCCAGUAAGUUCCUGCCCCGAUAAAAUUAAAGCCAUCGAAGACAUCCCGGACCAGCUAUCAAGCGUAAAAGAGAUUCAAAGGCUAACGGAGAGACAGGCUGCUUUGAGCAGAUUCAUUUCCCGGUCUUCGAAAAAUGCCAUCAUUUCUUCGCACUUCUAAAAAAGAAGAAUAAUUUUUGAAUGGACACUAUAAUGUCACCAGGCUUUGAAGGAUCUGAAAAAGUUUUUGUCAAUUCCUCUGUUACUGUCAAAACCGGAGAAAGGCGAACAACUACUGAUAUACUUAGCGAUCUCGGAGGAAGCAGUAAGUGUUGUUUUAGUCCACGAGGACAAAGGUACGCAAUCUCCUAUUUAUUAUGUAAGUAAAAUUUUGACGGGAGCAGAAACUCGCUACUCACAACUGGAAAAAUUGGCGUUUGCCCUCUUUUCCAGUGUCACCCGAUAGCGGUGGUGGUGACCACUUUUCCCUUGCGGAAUAUUAUUCAUAAGCCUAAACUCUCAGGUAGGCUGGCCAAGUGGGCCAUCGAAAUGAGCGAAUUUGACAAAGAAUAUAAGCCUAAGACUGCAAUUAAGUCAAAAGGUUUGGCCGACUUUGUGGCCGAUUUCACUCCGGGUUUUACCUUUGGCUACCAAAGAAGCAGUUAUGGUGUCAGAAUCGACAUCAGAAGUUUGGACCUUGUUCACGGAUGGAGCUCCCAAUGUGAAAGGGUCCAGGCUCGGCAUAGUGUUAGCCAUGCCAUCGGGAUAAACCCUAAAUCAGGCCAUAAGAACUGUUCCCCUGACUAACAAUAAAGCAGAGUAUGAAGCUUUGAUUGUAGGGCUUGAAUUUGCCUGAUGACUGGACUCCGAGGUCAUAGAAAUCAAAUGCGACUCCCAAUUGGUAGUAAAAAGCGACUCCCAAUCAGACUAUGGUACUGUAGUACAACUUAUGCAUUCGACAUUAGACGCAGACAACUAUUACGAGGUAAACACGGCUAAUUUGGUAUGGGACUGGAGAAAUGAGAUCAUUGACUAUCUCGAGCACGAAAAACUACCUGGAGAUUCCAUGGCAUAUCGGGCACUACACACUAAAGCAACUUGAUACAGCUUCAAGGGGGGUCAAUUAUAUAGAAGAUCUUUCCAAAGCCCGUUGGCUUGAUAUUUAGGAGCUUCCGAAGCUAAUUAUGUUAUGCGAGAAGUCCACGAUGGGAUCUACAAAAAUCACUCAGGCGCGGAUUCCUUAGUGUUAAAAUUAAUUAGGGCACAAUACGGUUGGCCCCGGAUGGAACAAGACACCAAAGCUUAAGUUCAAAAAUAUGAUAAAUGUCAACGCUACACACCGUUGGUACCUCUAUCGGCAAAACCAUUGUACUCGGUUUUGUCACCAUGGUCGUUCAUGAAGUGGGAGAUGAAUAUCGUCGGACCACUGCCGCUAGUCCCCGGUAAGGUAAGAUUUCUUUUGAUUUUAACUGACUAUUUUUCUAAGUGGGUUGAAGCAGGUCCUUAUCAGAAGAUCGACGAACGUGAAGUGGUAGAUUUCUUGUGGGAGAAUAUAAUUUUCAUAUUUGAAAUACCAAAAGAGAUAGCCUGCGACAACGGUCUGCAAUUUAUAGGCGCAAAUGUAACAAAAUUCCUUGAAGGCUUGAAAAUAAAAAAGAUAACAUCAAUACCCUAUCAUCUGAGUGCAAACGGUCAAGCAGAAUCAACAAACAAGGUGAUUAUACAAAAUUUCAAAAAUAUAUUGGAAGCAGCUUAAGGUAAAUGGCCCGAAGAGCUGGCAGGGGUACUAUGGGCGUACCGAACAAUGGUCAAAUCAAGCACGGGGGAGACUCCUUUCUCUCUUUGUGUACGGGGCUAAAGCCCUGAUCUUGUUGGAAGUAGGAGAUCCUACCCUGAGGUGUUUCCGGGUAAGCGAAGAAGCAAACAAUGAAGCAAUGUUAGUCAAUUUGGAGCUGCUCGGUGAACGCAGGGACUUGGCGCAUAUAAGGAUGGCAUCCCAAAAGCAGAGAAUAAGGAGAUAUUACAAUCAAAGAGCCAACCUCCAUUAUUUCAAAGUAGGAGACUUGGUUUUAAGGAAAGUAACUUAGAACACCCGGGAACUCAAUGCAGGAAAGAUAGGUCCAACAUGGGAAUGCCCCUACCGGGUUUCAGCUGUCACCGAGAAAAGGUCAUACGAGUUAGAAAAUCGAGAUGGAGAAAAGUUGCCAAGCAACUCGAAUGUGGCACAUCUCAAGAGAUACUAUUGCUGAUGAGCCUCGCCUGUACUGAAAGUAUGUGCUGCUCCACUCUUUUUUCUUUCAUCCAGUUUUUGUCCCAAUUAGGUUUUUCUAGAAAAGUUUUUAACGAGGUAGCAAUGAAAAGCAUACUACGAAGGAAGAUUCAGCAACAACAAUAAUACCUUUAAAUGACAAGGCACACAAGCAAAGAAUCACUACGGAGUGGUUAGAUAGUCUUUUGCCCGAUAGCAAAGUUCCUACCGGGAAGUAAAGUUUACUGUCGAACAGAGAUUACCCGACCGUUCACAAGUGCAAUACACUGGGGGAUUGUUAAAUAAUCUUUGGCUCGAUAGCAUAAAUUCCUAAAGGGAAGUAAAGUUUGCUAUCGAACUGAAGAUUAUCUAGCAAUUCACUAGUGGAAUCCUCGAAGGUGUAAAACUUCUAGUGUUCCAAUUCACAUUCUUCGCAUUCGAACACUAGGGAGGAAUGAUAUGAGGAUACAACAACAAUGACUGCCACAUCGACCGAAAUACGAAACCCAAAAACGUAGUUGUAUCAUCGGGGCCAAGGACUGUGCGGCCAUCCCUGUAGAAACAAGUUGGCCACAAGAAAUGGCAAUUUCUUUUUAGCACAAUGAAUGUUUAUGUAAUUUUGAAAAUGGAAGGUAUAAAGUAAAGUCAUGUUAUUUCUAUCUUGUUUCUUGUCUAAACGAUGAAUUCAUUUUAUCAUUUUAAAGGUAAACAAGUACUUCAAAUGUUAGUGCCAUAAUGAACAUGAGACGUCAUCUUCAAGAGCACCGUAAACAUAAGAGGUCCCUCUCUUAUGAAACCCUCAAGUUAAAGGGUUGAUUUUGGAAGAACCUAUGCCCAAAAUCAAAAUACUACCGGGGAAAUAUACACCCGAAGUCUCACAUAUCUCAGCGCGGAAAACUGAUGAGAAGACUUAAACGAAAAAGACGCAAAAAGUUAAACUUGGGCAAAUACUUAAACGAAAAGUACGUAAAGAGAAAGACUUGAACGAUGCUUGAACGAAAAAGUUGUUUCUAUUCAAAAUAAACGUUCCAAACAACACAAGUACAAAAAUAUGAGAAACGGAACCCGAAAGAAGAGAAUCAUCUACACCCCUAGGGAAGGUGGGAGGAUCCGCCGCCGGCUCAAUACCUUGGCCUUCAUCAUUUUGUCCUUCAGCAUCAACACCUUCCGGUUCUUCUUCAGUUCCCAAAAACUCGGAACUGGAACCAGAAGAGUCGGUAGCAUCAGCUCGGGCCAGAAGAUCCCUUUUGGCAGUUGACUCCAGCUCACAAGCCUUAGUGAUUUUGGCAUCAAAGUCAAUGACACCCGCUUUGGCCCCUUCCAAGGUUUUUCUCCUCAUGCUAUGCAUAACAUAUGUUUUUUCAACAACGAGGAAGCUUCUCGGUACUGGAGUUCUUCUUUAAGUCGGCUGACCUCGGCAGAAAGGUUAUCCCAUACGGAUCUGGUGGACUGGAGACUGACGUCAAGCUCGCGGACAGUGGAGCUGAAAACUCUAUUAUGUUCAAUGGUCUUCUUAUGAUUCUCCUCCGAUCGGGAAUACUUUGCCUCGACAACAAUAACUUCUUCAGUUUUUGAGUUUAAGGCCGCCUCCAAAUUAUUCAAUCUUUCUGUAGCAGCAACCUCGUGAUCAGAUGCUGCAAGAAUGGCAUUAUGGACCUUAACCCAUUUGGCCUUAGUUUAUUCAAAUUGUGCCCUUAAUGAGGCGACCUCCGGGCUAAGAGUCACUACUUCUUGCUCAUUUUGUUGCAACCGAGCCUCCAACUCAACGACCCCAGUGGCUCGUUCUUCCAGUUUUGAGAGGCGAGUAGCAGUUUGGUCUUGCUCGGCCAAAAGUUGAUCUCGCUCGGAGGAAAGUUCCUCCUUAUCACAAAUCAGCCUUUGAAGGCCCUUGGAAGCAAGAAAGUUGGCCUGCAAAACAAAAAUACAAAUUCAAAACCAUGCCAUAACAAAGAUAGAAGAAACAAUAGAUGAAAUAAGGACUAUAUCGUCGCUGCAUUGUGCAUGGCAUUGUUCAACAAACACUCUCCUGAGAGAGUUUGUAUUUUAUCCUUAUCUUUUCCUGAAGCCAAAGGCUUAAGAUAGUUUGCAAGUUCCACCGGCUGGGAUAAUAUAUGGCAUCCAGUAGAAACUGAGAGGGUAACGCUCCUCCUACUUUGGGGAUUUUCUGAGGGGGCAGCAUAAUUUUGCCCAGGUUCCCAUGAACUGGGGACUGGGGAAGAGGGACAUCAUCCUCUUGGGCAACUGCGGCAGGUGGAUAUGAUGUAGCAGUUGCUGGUGGCGAAGGAAGAGCGGUGAAGAAAGAGAUGAAGCUGAUGGCAAAGUAGCUGCGACAAAUGCAGUGCUGGUUGUUGGUUGCUCAUCAACCAAAGAUGACAGGGACCAGUACUUAGCCUCACGGUAUCGGGCACGAUGACUGGGAUUCGGAAAUGGGAGUUAGCAUUUUCCACUAUAUCAUACCCCCCAGAAUGUCGGGGCAUUGCCCUCGGUUGGUGUAACUAGCCCAACAUAUUGAGCAUUCUAUUGAGCUGAGGAAGGUUGUCGUCUUCUAUGUAGAGAAGCCCUCUCCUCACUGGUUUCUCCAUCAUCGUAGAUCACCAUGGUGUCUAUGGCCGACUCGGGCGCGGGGCUCAUUACCACAACAUCUAAAGACGACUCAGGCGCGACAUCCUUUGCCUUUUUAUUUUUUCCCCUAGUCGCGGAGAAACGUCUCUUUUUUGGUUGCUUGUUCUCUGGCCGGGGACUCUGAGAAGAAACACUUGUGCUAGAAGCAGGCCCGGAUACACCUGUUCGGAUAAGAGCCUCCUGCAGCAACUUCGCCGCGUCAGUAGGACUAGCCAGAACAUCCUCCUCGGGGACGACAACUGAGCCCUGGGGUAGACCUGAAGUUUAUCAUUCCCCGCGAAACAUCUUGGGGGAAUAAAGAUUCAUUAAUUUAGCUAGGGUUAUCUCCUCUCCCGUUUCCUGGCAUAGCCGCCGAAGACUAACAACUGUCCUCCAUACAGAAGGACUUACUUAUGCUAAACAUACUUGGUAACGGAUGCAGAACUCUAUGAUGACGGAGAUAAGCUCCCCACUCAACGAGAACAACCUCAAAGUGAAGGGAUACAUAUAAAAAUACGUGAAAUCCUUCUUGGGUAAGGUUAUCCGCUCCGCCAGAUCAGGAGCGAUAAUAUCUAAAUCUUGGCAAUGACAGUCUCCCUUCACAGCUGGAAUACUAGAAGGAUGGAUGUAAGAAGGGUAUACGCCAACGACCCACGUGCGAGGGUUAGCGGAAGAAUACUUCUCUUCGAAGUCUUUAGUUGUGACAAAACUUCUUGGGAUGAUGGUGCUCACCGUAGGAGGAGCAUCAUUAUCAUCUUUACCUUUAUUUUUUAAAGAACUAGGGUUUCUGGAAGAAGAAACUAUUUUUCUCAGAAAGGAUAGAAAGGGUUUCUCCGAAGAAGAAGGUUAAAGAGAGGUUGAAGACAAAGUACGAGUUGAGUAAAAAGAGUUUGAGAAAAGUUUGGAGAAUUAUGAAGUGUAAAUGAAGAAGUUUGAUGCGUAUAAGUAAAGAAAUAUGCGGCUAAAAUCGUGACCAUAAUUACCUCGAUAACCGUCAAAAGUGAUGUUAAAUCGGGAUGACGCGUGUUCGGGGCAUUAAAUGCGGAGAGACGUGCGUUUAAUCAACCGUCAGAAACUUUUCAGCGGGAGUCAGAGAAUUUUCCGCCAAAAGAUGUAUCUCUACCAAAUUCCCAGUGACAUAAAUUUAUGCCACCGGAAAGGAGAGGGACUAUUUAUAAGAGUUAAAAUAUGUUCAUAUUUAAUAUUCGCAUGAGAAGGUGAUACGUGGAGCCGAAGACAGUCGGGCCCUUAGACAAUGAUCUCUCUUGUUAUCGGAGAGAAUAAUAUUCAUAAAGGCAAAGUAAAUGCCUACCACUUCAUAACAUUUAAUGAAGAAUAUUCUAUAGUAUUAAGUGUACGGUCCGUUGCAGAGAAUAAGGUAUUUACUGCCUACUGUUACAAACUCUUCAAUGAAUCUCAUAAUUGUUAUUUAAGAGGGGCUUGAUCCUACGACCUUGUUCCCUAGGUACAAUUAUAAAUAGUGAGCUCUACCAUCAUUGUAAGGGGAGAACUUCCCAACCAACAUACACUACACUUUGUUCAAAGCUCAAAAAUAUUUUACUUUCUUGCUUAUUUAGAUUAUUCGUACUGCUUCCGAAAGCUUUGUUCUCGGUCUCAAGACAUCUAUCGUCUUAUCUCGAUUUUAACGUUAAGUCUUACAUUUUUGUCUAAUUUAUUUAUCAUUUUAGGAUCAAAUCAAUUCACUUGUCUAUAAACCACGCAUAAAUUCGACUGUACUGUUUUACGGGUAAAAAACUACAAACCGGACAUCAAAAUGCAUGAAGUUCACAACCAAGCGUCCGAAUCUUAUCAAAUCAACUCCGUUUUGCAAUAAAAUUUGCAGACAAGUCUUAAAUAAUAAAAUAAACCUAUAUCAAGUUCCGAAACCGAGAUCCGAACCCGAUAGCCAUAAAGCCAACAUAUGGUCAAAUUUCAGAAUUCUUUAAACUUUCAAAUUACUAGCUUUCAACAAAUCAUGUCAAAUCAAGUUAGAAAUUUCUGAAUUCGAUACCGGGCAUACGCUAUGUCCAAAAUCAUGAUACAGACCCAUCAUGAUCGUCAAAAUAUCGAUCCGAGUCUGUUUACAUAAAUAUGCUGACCGUAGUCAACUCAAAUUAUUUUUAAAGCUAAAAUUCAUAUUUUCUUCAAUGUUUUCACAUAAAAGCUUUUCAGAAAAAGACACGGACUGCGCACACAUCUCAAGAAUCGCUAAACGGAUCUAAUCGAGGUCUCGAAAUAUUGAAAUAAGUGCCAGAACUCAGAAUGACCUAUCAGGUCAUCGCAAUCUUAAUUGCGCCUAAUAACUUAAACGGACUAUGAAUUGAUCAGUAGCAAAAUUAAAAUUCAUAAACUCCAAAUCCUAGUUACGACUCUUAUUCUAAAUCAAUUUUAUCUAAAUACUGCAUAAUUUAUCUUUUAAGGUGAAUCAAGGUUUUUAUAAAACUAAAAGUUUAGUAAAACUCAUAUAAGCAUACAAGCCUUGGGUUAAUUUCGCUGAUGGUCAUUGAACUAUUUUUCAAUUUCACUAAAGUCAUAUAACUAUUUUUUGUCACUUAAAAGUAACUAAACUUUAUCAUUGUCACUUACAAGUUAUUUUGCCUCAAACCCCUACCAUAAAUAUGACAUGUCAUUAAAUUUUAUGAUAAAAAAUCAAAAAUAAAUGCCACAUAAGCUAAUAUGGGUCAUACCCAUUUUAGAUCAAUUUAUCCUUAAUGUGAUUUGAUCCAUAAUCCAAAUGAGUUUCGAUAAAAAAAAUAAAUUAAUUCCACAUUAGUUUAAAAUGAUUAUCCUAUACUAUAAAGUUUUGCCUUUUCUGUCACAGCACAUUCAUAAUUAUUCUAUACUAAAAUAAUUUAUGCUAGAAAAUUCUUAUUUUAUUUGUAUGCCCCAUCCGAGUCAUUCAUAAUUAUUCUAUACUAAAAUAAUCUAUGCUAGAAAAUUUUUAUUUUGUCUGUAUGCCCCAUCCGAGUCAUUUUAAAAUACUAUUGUGUAUUUUAGCUUCAGUAGAGUUAUAAAAUCACUCAGAUGGGGAAUACCAGCAAGAUACGAAUUUUCUAGUAUAGAUUAUUUUAGUAUAGAAUAAUUAUGAAUGUGCUGUGACAGAAAAGAUAAAAUUUUGUAGUAUAGGAUAAUCAUUUUAAACUAAUGUGGAAUUUUUUUUUUUAAUCGAAACUCAUUUGGAUUAUGGAUCAAAUCACAUUAAAGGAUAAAUGAAUCUAAAAUGGUUAUGACCCAUAUUAGCUUAUGUGGUAUUUAUUUUUGGAUUUUUAUCAUAAAAUUUAAUGCCAUGUCAUAUUUAUGGUAGGAGUUUGCGGCAAAAUGACUUUUAAGUAACAAUGAUAAAGUUUAAUUACUUUUAAGUGACAAAAAUUAGUUAUAUGAUUUUAGUAAAAUUAAAAGAUAGUUCAAUGACCAUUAGUGAAAUUAAACCCUACAAGUCUUUGAUCAGAAUAAAAGAACUCACAGGAAAAUGUACAGUUAUUAUUAAUUUCAACAGUGAAAACAAAGAGGACAUUCAUUGAUUGCAUUUACAUUUCAUGCAUCUAUCAUCUAUGUACGUUCAUUUUCUCUGUGAUCUGUACCUACCGAUAUAGGAAUUAGGUUCAUAGUCUUAGUCGCGAUAUAAGGUAAGACAAACUCACCACUGACCCCAAAAAGUAGCUUAAUUAGGUUUGGUUCUUAACUGACGAAAAGAAUUUAAAUAUAUUCAUUUUAGCUAGUAAGCUUUUACGUUUUACAUCAUUUUCUUGAUGUUACCACAUAUUUGGAAAUAAAGAAAAGAAACCCAGUUUAUAAAGUUUUCCGUGCCCACGCAAGAUCUGAGAAAGACCUACAUUCCAAGGGGAUGUGAUGUAAGCAACUUAUCCUGAUGCAAGUAUCAUUGGUUGAUUUCACGGUUUGAACCCGUGACCUAUAAAUUACAAAAAGAUAACUUUACUGAUUCCUUAGGUUGCCCGAUGAAACAUGACCUGAUAUAGGAGUAAAAUUAACUUUUACCCCCUUCACAAAAGUGUUUUUUUUCUUUCGUUUCAUAUAACUAUUAAAAUGGUGCUGGUUGAAGCAAAUCUGGAACUCUAUUCACUUUAUAAAAGCAAGAUCCAUUUAUGGAGGCAAGACAUCGAUCACGAAUGCCCAUCUUGUAUGAUAAUGCUCUAGGAUGGGACGGUUGGCAAAACUCUCCUUCAUUUAUGGUAGCAUUCCUGGUUUCUUUAAUUUUCGUAGGGAUCGUUUGGCACGAGGGAUAAGAAAAUAUUAUAAUUUCAAGAUUGAAUUCGAAAUUAGCUUAUCUUACGUUUGGCAAGACCGUGAGUUAUAUAUCACACUUCACGUGGGAUAUACAAUACCAAAAUAACUAAUUUUGGAAUUGAAACAUAUAAUGACACACUUGCUUCAUCUUCUACCAAGCUCUUUAAGAAAGCUAAUACUAUUAAAAUUUAAAAUAAAAGAUUAUCUCAUUUUAACUAAUUUAAAGCAAAUAUAUUAUAUACAUUAUACCACAUAUAGUUCAUUUUUGGCAGAAUACAUCGACAACCCAUUACAAUUAUCCACACUUUUUACUUAAACACUUUAUCUUAAAUCUGUUUUAUUUGAACACCCAACCACAUUUUAAAUAUAUCUUUUAGACACAACCGGUUAAUAUGACACAGUACGUGUAUUACACUAUUUUUCUGAGUGUGAGAGAUCCAAUUUUUCUUUUAAAUUUUUCCUCUUAUUCUUUCGCAGACCAUGUCCAGCUCACCACCUUCGUCCUCGCUCUCUCCCUACACUAGUCCACCACCAUCCAUCUUAAUGUUUUAGUUUUCCCCAGCCAUGUCGAAUUGCCGCUUAAAGUCCGAUGAACCAAAAUCUAGCAGUAAAAAAUUAUUCUCUAAAUAAAAAUUUUCAUUAUUAAUUCUAAUAUUAUAAUCUUAUCAUUAUUAAUCCCGAGAUAAUUUGUACACCACAAACAAGUAUAUUCCCCGUCUGUUGAUUCAAGAAAUAAGGGUUACUGAAAUUGAAUUAAUAAUAUAACAAAAUAGAGAUGGAGAAAAUAUUUGAGAAGUUAAAAAAAAGGAGAAUAAACUUCUCUAAAUAAGGUAAGACCUACCCUAUUUAUUUUCCCUUCUGAACCAUCAAUAAUUAUCCGUUAGAGAAGUAAAGUUGGAAAUACAUAGUAAUGCAAAGUCAAUUAUACUCCUUAAUCAAAAUAAUUUUUUGGAUUAUUUCUUAAUCAUUUUUCCUAUUUUUUUUUGAUUAUACAGAGGGAAUCGGAAGCUAGUGAUGCAUAUGAAACACAUGGAGAUAAAGAUGUGACAUUUGAAAGUAAAUUGGAAUUUUUUUUGGCAAUGAAGUGAAAUGGUGACUUGGUGAAAGGUCUCUUUACUCUUCCUUUAAUGGCCAUUGAAUAACUUCAAAUAAAUUCAUCAGU
rnacentral:lncRNA from 1 species